rnacentral:rRNA from 1 species
AGAGAUGGAUUGGUGCCUUCGGGAACUCUGAGACAGGUGCUGCAUGGCUGUCGUCAGCUCGUGUUGUGAAAUGUUGGGUUAAGUCCCGCAACGAGCGCAACCCUUAUCCUUUGUUGCCAGCGGUUCGGCCGGGAACUCAAAGGAGACUGCCAGUGAUAAACUGGAGGAAGGUGGGGAUGACGUCAAGUCAUCAUGGCCCUUACGAGUAGGGCUACACACGUGCUACAAUGGCAUAUACAAAGAGAAGCGACCUCGCGAGAGCAAGCGGACCUCAUAAAGUAUGUCGUAGUCCGGAUUGGAGUCUGCAACUCGACUCCAUGAAGUCGGAAUCGCUAGUAAUCGUAGAUCAGAAUGCUACGGUGAAUACGUUCCCGGGUCUUG